rnacentral:antisense_RNA from 1 species
CCGCGUGCAUGCUGAGCUGUCCUGGCUCAGCUGCUUUCACACAUUGCCGAUCAGCAGCAGCAGCAGUGAAGGAGAGCUUAAGUGGACGCGCCCACCUGCUGCUGCUUGGGUCCUGUGCACAAGCUGUUCCCGCUGCCCCCAAUACUCAUCCCCUCGACUUCUAAGGGGCUGACCUCUUCACCUUCCAGCCUUGGCUCAAAUGUCACCUUCACAGUAAAGGCUACCCAUGGCUGGAUGUGUGGUUGUGCAGGCUCUGCCCCUUCCAAAGGGCCGGAAUGGAAAAAUGAACUCACUUCUGUUCUCUACUACACUAAAACAAUGCUUAGCACAUAACCAGGACCCGGCACCUAUUUGUUAAAUGAAUGAAUGAAUGAAUGACUAAAUAAAUGAAAAAAAAAAAAAAG